rnacentral:rRNA from 1 species
UGUGUAGGCGGUUCUUUAAGUUUGGUGUGAAAUCUCCCGGCUCAACCGGGAGGGUGCGCCGAAUACUGAGGGACUAGAGUGUGGGAGAGGAAAGUGGAAUUCCUGGUGUAGCGGUGAGAUGCGUAGAUAUCAGGAGGAACACCGGUGGUGUAGACGGCUUUCUGGACCAUAACUGACGCUGAGACACGAAAGCGUGGGUAGCAAACAGGAUUAGAUACCCUGGUAGUCCACGCCCUAAACGAUGCAUAUUUGGUGUGGGUCAUUCAGUUGAUCCGUGCCGGAGCCAACGCGUUAAAUAUGCCGCCUGGGGAGUACAGUCGCAAGGCUGAA